rnacentral:ncRNA from 1 species
ACAGGGGCGCUGGGUGCAUACCCGGCUGAGAUCGGGGCGAAAAGCAGCCCCGGGUCACCUUGAACCUGAUCCGGGUAAUGCCGGCGUAGGAAGUUUGAG